CCUACGGGAGGCAGCAGUGGGGAAUUUUGGACAAUGGGCGCAAGCCUGAUCCAGCUAUUCCGCGUGUGGGAAGACGGCCUUCGGGUUGUAAACCACUUUUGUAGAGAACGAAAAGUCUAUUGAUAAUACCGAUAGAUGAUGACGGUACUCUACGAAUAAGCACCGGCUAACUACGUGCCAGCAGCCGCGGUAAUACGUAGGGUGCGAGCGUUAAUCGGAAUUACUGGGCGUAAAGGGUGUGCAGGCGGUUUUGCAAGAUGGAUGUGAAAGCCCCGGGCUUAACCUGGGAAAGCCAUACAUGACUGGAAGACUAGAGUGCGUCAGAGGGGGGUGGAAUUCCAAGUGUAGCAGUGAAAUGCGUAGAUAUUUGGAAGAACACCGAUGGCGAAGGCAGCCCCCUGGGACGCAACUGACGCUCAUACACGAAAGCGUGGGGAGCAAACAGGAUGAGAUACCCCUGUAGUC
rnacentral:rRNA from 1 species